UCAUACUCAUUACUCUCCGUCAAAACAACCGAAAAUGGCCAGCAGGAAACACAAUUAACUUUGUAACUCUUUUUCACUAGUUUUAGAAAUCUCUGAUCUCUUAAUUACAGGGGUAAUACCAAAGAUUCUCUAUUCUAAUUAGCAUCGUCUCUGAUAAUUCAAAUAUUCCAGGAAGUGGUUAAUCGACCGGAUGUUGUUUUGUGAUCAGUGAUGCGUUUCCAGGGGACGUUCUUUGAGGGGACACAUUAAACUUUGAGGAAGUAGUGUCUUGUUCAGUGUUCACGGUUUAUAUUGCUGAAGGACAAUUACAAGUCUAAACGGAGAAGAGUCGUCAUUUCAAGGUGUUUUCGCGGACGUAUUGGCAUGUGGAUGUUGACAGUGUCGGAAGUAUUAAUCAAAGUUGACACGAGAAGUUGGAGCGAAUGCGAGAAGAGCAUGCGAUGAGCUGCCUGCCUGCUGCUGCCUACUGCCUACUCCUGCUGCUGCUGCUGUUGCAUCCAAUGUUGGGUAGCCAGCCACCCAUGCAUGUUGACACAGCCAGCAGCGGGCACCCAUGGCACAUGGGGAUGGACCCAGGAGUGGAGGAUGACCCAAUAGGAUGAACGUUCAGCCCACUCACUGUUGACACCAGUGACACAGUAUUGACCAGAUCUCCUGGAAGUGCCCCCUGACGCAGACCCAGUUGUUGGGUAGCCACCCAUGCACAUUGACACAGCCAGCACCGAGCACCCAGGGGGAUGGAACCAGGAAUGGAGGAUGGUCCAAUAGGGUAGCAUCAUGAAGGCAGUUUACCCCUGAAACUUUUUACAAAGGACCAUCAUCGUCAGAGAAGUUCCUUUAACCCUUUAUCUCCCAUAGCGGCCGUGAACGCCCGGCCACCUCUCUCCCAUAACGCCCGCCGACACCCGGAGUAUUUUCAUAGCUGAACAGAAGUCAUCAUGCAGUUU